rnacentral:lncRNA from 1 species
AUGGAGAUCUGGAACACUGGGGAUGAGAAGAGAUGGAGGUCUGGAACACUGGGGAUGAGAAGAGAUGGAGAUCUGGAACACGAGGGGAUUCAGGAGAAGCUUUUUCACAGGAGGUACCAUCAACCCACUGAAUUGCCAUGGUAAUGCUUAACCUCCUGUGGUUAAAACACACACGCAGAUGCUCUCUCACUCACAUACGCACACACACACACACUUUUUCGGCACACAGCAGGGCGAACGCGUCAACUCUCACCCUCUCCCACUCUCUGACACAGCUUGUGAAGUGCACAAGUCUUGCUGACGC